UAGCCGUAAACGAUACUCGCUAGGUGUCGGCCACGGUGCGACCGUUGUCGGUGCCGUAGGGAAGCCGUGAAGCGAGCCACCUGGGAAGUACGGCCGCAAGGCUGAAACUUAAAGGAAUUGGCGGGGGAGCACAACAACGGGUGGAGCUUGCGGUUUAAUUGGAUUCAACGCCGGAAAUCUUACCGGGACCGACAGCAACAUGAAGGCCAAGCUGAAGACUUUGCCGGAUUAGCUGAGAGGUGGUGCAUGGCGUAGACGU
rnacentral:rRNA from 1 species